UCUGGUAGAUAUAGCGCGGUAGUACCACCUGAUACCAUACCGAACUCAGAAGUGAAAUGCCGUAGCGCCAAUGGUAGUAUGGAUUUUUCCAUGUGAGAGUAGGAAACUACCAGAC
rfam:Baumannia cicadellinicola str. Hc (Homalodisca coagulata), complete genome.